rnacentral:piRNA from 1 species
UGGGCUUAGCUGGACUUAGAUCUUCGGUGGC